UAUUUUUUCGUUCCUUUCAGGUUAGUAAAUCAAUUUAGCUGGUUUUUUAUCUGUUUUUUUUUAUUGAAAAUUAAUCCAAAUACUUAAUUUUCAUAAUUUUUUAACUUUUUUAUAUUUUUUUAAUAGUUUGAAAAAAAGUUAAUAAAUCAAAUCAAUUUUUGUUUUUUUAACAUUAUACUUUUUUAGUUUAGUCAUGCUUAAUGCUCUUGGCAAGUUGGAAGAGUUUUCCAUUGUGUAUUAGAUACGCCGGGCUCCCUUAUGUGUGAUGAAUACGUCAUGAGAAUGGUACCCGUCACCCAGCGUCGCCGGUCUUCACGCGACAGGACCGGGGUUCAAAUCCCAUCCUGACCGCCUUCCCGUACACUUUUCAUUGUAACGGCUACCGGCCCUGGUCUACAUGGGUCUACAUACCUGGUAAAAAAAUCCUUCCAAGCAUCUUCCUCUCAAACGUGGUUAAGAGGGUAAUUUUGAACAGAGUCCAUGUCUAAGAUUUGUCCGUCGCCCCACAUUUUCUUUGGGGCUUUUUUGACGUAAAAAAUCAUACCAUACUACUAUAGUAAAACUGCUAAACAUUGACUUAAAAAAUAAAUCUCUGUCUUCCUCUUCUUCUUGGUCUGUUCUGUUGGGUCACGCCAGCGAUGUAAUGGAUUGAGAAUUAAAAAAUGAUACUACUAAUCUUUACACUACUAAUAUUGGCUUCUCUGACUGGAUCUACCCAUAGUUAAAUAGUUUGACCGUUGCACUGAAGACGAUCCGGACGGGAUCCUAUAGUAUUCCCGUCGUAGUAAUAACUGGCGCUGCUGCCUGCUAUACCACUAGGAUGCCCUUUAAAAUGGCUUACUAGAUAUACUUAUACUACGUAGCUCGAUAGACAGUUCUGGUUGUGAUUUAAAUAAGAUUCGAUACCUAGUCUUCCCAUGUCAAAGCCGGAACCGCUACCAUCUAGAUCACUCGAUUUUUCUUAGAGACACAGUCUAGUUAAACUUGCUAGUUUGUUAUUAGUUCCACGAACUUUGAUUCUGUUUACUGAAUUACUACUUUUAUCUCGCUAGUUUCCCAAUAAGAAACAUGUUCAAGCUGACGAGGGAAGACAAAAAAAAACCCGCCAUCCACCAACAAACGAUCAAACGGCAUCUAUCGCGCGUGGCGGAAGCAGCAUGCGCAAGGAGCAGCAGGAAACCGACGUCUUGUUACCGGUGUGUACGCAGGCUGCGCGAUCCAGCAGAAGCACCAUCGGCAGCCUCACUCCAACAACAGAAGACCUUCGCAAAUCGGAACAAGCGACCGUGCGCGACAAUGAUGGCACAAGGUACCACAAAGGUACCAUGGAAAGGGAAGCAAGAAGAAGAAGUUUCGA